GUGCUUGCUUUGGCAAUACGCAUAAAAAAAUUGAAAUAACAAAGAUUACCAUGACCCCUGCACAAAGGUGACACUCAAAUUCAUAAUGGUACCAUAUUUAU
ensembl:snRNA RNU6-751P RNA, U6 small nuclear 751, pseudogene